rnacentral:rRNA from 1 species
GACGAACGCUGGCGGCGUGCUUAACACAUGCAAGUCGAACGGAAAGGCCCUGCUUUUGUGGGGUGCUCGAGUGGCGAACGGGUGAGUAACACGUGAGUAACCUGCCCUUGACUUUGGGAUAACUUCAGGAAACUGGGGCUAAUACCGGAUAGGAGCUCCUGCUGCAUGGUGGGGGUUGGAAAGUUUCGGCGGUUGGGGAUGGACUCGCGGCUUAUCAGCUUGUUGGUGGGGUAGUGGCUUACCAAGGCUUUGACGGGUAGCCGGCCUGAGAGGGUGACCGGCCACAUUGGGACUGAGAUACGGCCCAGACUCCUACGGGAGGCAGCAGUGGGGAAUAUUGCACAAUGGGCGGAAGCCUGAUGCAGCAACGCCGCGUGCGGGAUGACGGCCUUCGGGUUGUAAACCGCUUUCGCCUGUGACGAAGCGUGAGUGACGGUAAUCGGUAAAGAAGCACCGGCUAACUACGUA